GGUUAAGCGACUAAGCGUACACGGUGGAUGCCCUGGCAGUCAGAGGCGAUGAAGGACGUGCUAAUCUGCGAUAAGCGUCGGUAAGGUGAUAUGAACCGUUAUAACCGGCGAUUUCCGAAUGGGGAAACCCAGUGUGUUUCGACACACUAUCAUUAACUGAAUCCAUAGGUUAAUGAGGCGAACCGGGGGAACUGAAACAUCUAAGUACCCCGAGGAAAAGAAAUCAACCGAGAUUCCCCCAGUAGCGGCGAGCGAACGGGGAGCAGCCCAGAGCCUGAAUCAGUGUGUGUGUUAGUGGAAGCGUCUGGAAAGGCGCGCGAUACAGGGUGACAGCCCCGUACACAAAAAUGCACAUGCUGUGAGCUCGAUGAGUAGGGCGGGACACGUGGUAUCCUGUCUGAAUAUGGGGGGACCAUCCUCCAAGGCUAAAUACUCCUGACUGACCGAUAGUGAACCAGUACCGUGAGGGAAAGGCGAAAAGAACCCCGGCGAGGGGAGUGAAAAAGAACCUGAAACCGUGUACGUACAAGCAGUGGGAGCACGCUUAGGCGUGUGACUGCGUACCUUUUGUAUAAUGGGUCAGCGACUUAUAUUCUGUAGCAAGGUUAACCGAAUAGGGGAGCCGAAGGGAAACCGAGUCUUAACUGGGCGUUAAGUUGCAGGGUAUAGACCCGAAACCCGGUGAUCUAGCCAUGGGCAGGUUGAAGGUUGGGUAACACUAACUGGAGGACCGAACCGACUAAUGUUGAAAAAUUAGCGGAUGACUUGUGGCUGGGGGUGAAAGGCCAAUCAAACCGGGAGAUAGCUGGUUCUCCCCGAAAGCUAUUUAGGUAGCGCCUCGUGAAUUCAUCUCCGGGGGUAGAGCACUGUUUCGGCAAGGGGGUCAUCCCGACUUACCAACCCGAUGCAAACUGCGAAUACCGGAGAAUGUUAUCACGGGAGACACACGGCGGGUGCUAACGUCCGUCGUGAAGAGGGAAACAACCCAGACCGCCAGCUAAGGUCCCAAAGUCAUGGUUAAGUGGGAAACGAUGUGGGAAGGCCCAGACAGCCAGGAUGUUGGCUUAGAAGCAGCCAUCAUUUAAAGAAAGCGUAAUAGCUCACUGGUCGAGUCGGCCUGCGCGGAAGAUGUAACGGGGCUAAACCAUGCACCGAAGCUGCGGCAGCGACGCUGAUGCGUUGUUGGGUAGGGGAGCGUUCUGUAAGCCUGCGAAGGUGUGCUGUGAGGCAUGCUGGAGGUAUCAGAAGUGCGAAUGCUGACAUAAGUAACGAUAAAGCGGGUGAAAAGCCCGCUCGCCGGAAGACCAAGGGUUCCUGUCCAACGUUAAUCGGGGCAGGGUGAGUCGACCCCUAAGGCGAGGCCGAAAGGCGUAGUCGAUGGGAAACAGGUUAAUAUUCCUGUACUUGGUGUUACUGCGAAGGGGGGACGGAGAAGGCUAUGUUGGCCGGGCGACGGUUGUCCCGGUUUAAGCGUGUAGGCUGGUUUUCCAGGCAAAUCCGGAAAAUCAAGGCUGAGGCGUGAUGACGAGGCACUACGGUGCUGAAGCAACAAAUGCCCUGCUUCCAGGAAAAGCCUCUAAGCAUCAGGUAACAUCAAAUCGUACCCCAAACCGACACAGGUGGUCAGGUAGAGAAUACCAAGGCGCUUGAGAGAACUCGGGUGAAGGAACUAGGCAAAAUGGUGCCGUAACUUCGGGAGAAGGCACGCUGAUAUGUAGGUGAAGCGACUUGCUCGUGGAGCUGAAAUCAGUCGAAGAUACCAGCUGGCUGCAACUGUUUAUUAAAAACACAGCACUGUGCAAACACGAAAGUGGACGUAUACGGUGUGACGCCUGCCCGGUGCCGGAAGGUUAAUUGAUGGGGUUAGCGCAAGCGAAGCUCUUGAUCGAAGCCCCGGUAAACGGCGGCCGUAACUAUAACGGUCCUAAGGUAGCGAAAUUCCUUGUCGGGUAAGUUCCGACCUGCACGAAUGGCGUAAUGAUGGCCAGGCUGUCUCCACCCGAGACUCAGUGAAAUUGAACUCGCUGUGAAGAUGCAGUGUACCCGCGGCAAGACGGAAAGACCCCGUGAACCUUUACUAUAGCUUGACACUGAACAUUGAGCCUUGAUGUGUAGGAUAGGUGGGAGGCUUUGAAGUGUGGACGCCAGUCUGCAUGGAGCCGACCUUGAAAUACCACCCUUUAAUGUUUGAUGUUCUAACGUGGACCCGUAAUCCGGGUUGCGGACAGUGUCUGGUGGGUAGUUUGACUGGGGCGGUCUCCUCCUAAAGAGUAACGGAGGAGCACGAAGGUUGGCUAAUCCUGGUCGGACAUCAGGAGGUUAGUGCAAUGGCAUAAGCCAGCUUGACUGCGAGCGUGACGGCGCGAGCAGGUGCGAAAGCAGGUCAUAGUGAUCCGGUGGUUCUGAAUGGAAGGGCCAUCGCUCAACGGAUAAAAGGUACUCCGGGGAUAACAGGCUGAUACCGCCCAAGAGUUCAUAUCGACGGCGGUGUUUGGCACCUCGAUGUCGGCUCAUCACAUCCUGGGGCUGAAGUAGGUCCCAAGGGUAUGGCUGUUCGCCAUUUAAAGUGGUACGCGAGCUGGGUUUAGAACGUCGUGAGACAGUUCGGUCCCUAUCUGCCGUGGGCGCUGGAGAAUUGAGGGGGGCUGCUCCUAGUACGAGAGGACCGGAGUGGACGCAUCACUGGUGUUCGGGUUGUCAUGCCAAUGGCACUGCCCGGUAGCUAAAUGCGGAAGAGAUAAGUGCUGAAAGCAUCUAAGCACGAAACUUGCCCCGAGAUGAGUUCUCCCUGACUCCUUGAGAGUCCUGAAGGAACGUUGAAGACGACGACGUUGAUAGGCCGGGUGUGUAAGCGCAGCGAUGCGUUGAGCUAACCGGUACUAAUGAACCGUGAGGCUUAACCUU
rnacentral:rRNA from 1 species